CCUCAGAAGUGGAGAAAAUUAGCCCUACAUCAAGCAGGUGACCUGAAUAUUCACUGCUGGUUGCAGAAAGAAUGAGGAGGGCGGAAAUAUUUUAAGAUUCCAUGGGAACAGACGCAUGGUACUCACAGGCACAAGAAACUUCAUUCAACAGAAUUAAUCAAGUCUCCCUUGUGAGGAUCUUCUCAUUCCGCAUUCCUGAUCGAGCACAGAGAGGCUCCCAGUGCCUGGCUGUAGCCGAAAGCUUUCUCUACCUCCCUGCUUUGCUCUGGCAGCUCUCAGUGACCCUCACGGUGGCUUGGCUAUUGCCCCAGGGCGCUGAGCUGUGAUCCAGGCUGAAUACCCACAGAAGAGCUGGAUUCUGCUUCUAAACCUGUGAUCAUACUCAGUUCUUUUCUCUGCCCAGCACCAUAUUGUGCUUUGGACAAAAAUAAAAAGACUUCAAAAACAAAAACAAACUUCCCAGCUCCACGGCCACACACAACCCCUGCGAAGAGCUGUACUCACCGAAGAGGGACAGGAUCCCACAGAAGGUCCAGACAGUCAGAGACAUGCCCACGCUGCCGGUGUUCUGGAGCACACCCUUCGGGGAAAUGAAGAUCCCCGCGCCAAUGAUGGUGCCAAUGAUGAUGGAGACUCCCCUCAGCAGAGUGAUUUUCUUCUUCAGCACCACUCUCUCCUGCCCUGAUGGUGGCUG